UGGGGAAUAUUGGACAAUGGGCGCAAGCCUGAUCCAGCCAUGCCGCGUGUGUGAAGAAGGCCUUUUGGUUGUAAAGCACUUUAAGCGAGGAGGAGGCUACUUGGAUUAAUACUCUAAGAUAGUGGACGUUACUCGCAGAAUAAGCACCGGCUAACUCUGUGCCAUCAGCCGCGGUAAUACAGAGGGUGCGAGCGUUAAUCGGAUUUACUGGGCGUAAAGCGUGCGUAGGCGGCUUCUUAAGUCGGAUGUGAAAUCCCUGAGCUUAACUUAGGAAUUGCAUUCGAUACUGGGAAGCUAGAGUAUGGGAGAGGAUGGUAGAAUUCCAGGUGUAGCGGUGAAAUGCGUAGAGAUCUGGAGGAAUACCGAUGGCGAAGGCAGCCAUCUGGCCUAAUACUGACGCUGAGGUACGAAAGCAUGGGGAGCAAACAGG
rnacentral:rRNA from 1 species